rnacentral:rRNA from 1 species
UACGGAGGGCGCAAGCGUUAUCCGGAAUUAUUGGGCGUAAAGAGCUCGUAGGCGGUUUGUCGCGUCUGCCGUGAAAGUCCGGGGCUCAACUCCGGAUCUGCGGUGGGUACGGGCAGACUAGAGUGAUGUAGGGGAGACUGGAAUUCCUGGUGUAGCGGUGAAAUGCGCAGAUAUCAGGAGGAACACCGAUGGCGAAGGCAGGUCUCUGGGCAUUAACUGACGCUGAGGAGCGGAAAGCAUGGGGGAGCGAACAGG